rnacentral:rRNA from 1 species
GACGAACGCUGGCGGCGUGCCUAAUACAUGCAAGUAGAACGCUGAAGAGAGGAGCUUGCUCUUCUUGGAUGAGUUGCGAACGGGUGAGUAACGCGUAGGUAACCUGCCUUGUAGCGGGGGAUAACUAUUGGAAACGAUAGCUAAUACCGCAUAACAAUGGAUGACACAUGUCAUUUAUUUGAAAGGGGCAAUUGCUCCACUACAAGAUGGACCUGCGUUGUAUUAGCUAGUAGGUGAGGUAAUGGCUCACCUAGGCGACGAUACAUAGCCGACCUGAGAGGGUGAUCGGCCACACUGGGACUGAGACACGGCCCAGACUCCUACGGGAGGCAGCAGUAGGGAAUCGUCGGCAAUGGGGGCAACCCUGACCGAGCAACGCCGCGUGAGUGAAGAAGGUUUUCGGAUCGUAAAGCUCUGUUGUAAGUCAAGAACGGGUGUGAGAGUGGAAAGUUCACACUGUGACGGUAGCUUACCAGAAAGGGACGGCUAACUACGUG